rnacentral:rRNA from 1 species
UAGUCCACGCCGUAAACGAUGGUUACUAGCUGUUUGGUUUUCGGACUGAGUGGCUAAGCGAAAGUGAUAAGUAACCCACCUGGGGAGUACGUUCGCAAGAAUGAAACUCAAAGGAAUUGACGGGGGCCCGCACAAGCGGUGGAGCAUGUGGUUUAAUUCGAUGAUACGCGAGGAACCUUACCAGGGCUUAAAUGUAGAUUGACAGGUUUAGAGAUAGAUUUUUCUUCGGACAAUUUACAAGGUGCUGCGUGGUUGUCGUCAGCUCGUGCUGUGAAGUGUCGGGUUAAGUCCCAUAACGAGCGCAACCCCUAUCUUUAGUUGCCAGCGAUUCGGUCGGGGACUCUAAAGAAACUGCCGGCGUAAGCCGCGAGGAAGGUGGGGAUGACGUCAAAUCGUCACGGCCCUUACAUCUUGGGCUACACACGUGCUACAAUGGCGAGGACAACGAGAAGCAAACCGGCGACGGUGAGCAAAUCUAAAAACCUCGUCUCAGUUCGGAUCGGAGUCUGCAACUCGACUCCGUGAAGUUGG